GGUGCUGUGGCACAGUGGGUUAAUGCUCUGGCCUGAAGCGCCAGCAUCCCAAGGCGCCGGUUCUAGUCCUGACUGCUCCU
rnacentral:tRNA from 1 species